AUUCCUAUAGGAUCCUAUAGGAAUUCCUAUAGGAAAUGGAUAUUCCUAUAGGAAUUCCUAUAGGAUCCUAUAGGAUUU